UGCUAGGACUUUUUAUUGGGUUUGGU
rnacentral:piRNA from 1 species